ACCGUCUUUACUGUUUUUCAAACCGAACAAUCAUUUUAGAAAACCGGAGAUUUUGAUCUUUUGCGUUUAUACAUAAAGACAUUUUAAUUUUAUCGAAUAAUAUUUCGGUAAUUGAAGAAUUUAGAAUAUAUCUGAAUGAUAUCAUGCCUAAAAUAUACAAGAAUACCAUCAAGUCAGGAGCAACAAAAUUAUUUAAACGUGUUAAAAUGAGUCUUCCAGUAACAAAGAAAAACAAAGAUAAUGCAAACAAAGAAGAAUUGAACAUUUCAAAACAUGCAGAAAGUAUGAUAGACAAGAUUUUAGGAGAUGUGAACAAAAAGUCUACUACUAAACAAAUUAUUAUUGGUACAACAUCAGGAUGGUUGACUGGUUUUAUAACAAUAAAAAUUGGAAAAAUUACUGCAUUUGCAGUUGGUGGUGGAAUUAUAAUGCUCCAAAUUGCAGCACAUCAAGGUUACAUUAAAAUUAAUUGGGAUAAAAUUCAAAAAAAAGCUGAGAAAAUAACAGAUAAAGUAGAAGAAACAGUAACAGGUGAAGGACCAAAAUUCUUGGAUAAGGUAGGAACAUGGUGUCGAAACAAUUCACUUGUGGCAACAAGUUUCAUUGGUGGUUUUAUUAUUGGUUUAGCAUCCUGAAUGAAAAACUAUUAGUUUUUUUUAUAAAAACAUGAGUGAACAUUAUAUAUUUGUUACUUUUAGCAUAUUAACAUUAUAUGUUAGGUUGAGAGAUAUGUUGAUAAAAAGUUAGAUAAAGCUGAACAAUUAUUAAAAAAUGGCGAAUCUCGUACACGUCGUUGGUAUCAUUCUAUAACUGGCGAUACUUCAUUUAAACCUACAGAAUUUCACUUUUUCCUUUCUUAUUUUGUAGGUGGUUUUGCACUUGGCAUUGUAAGUGGUAAAUUGAUUUAAAUGCAUUGUACUCUGAAUGCAUAUAAAAAAUCAGGUGCUUAUGUCUUAAGAACAAGAAUAAAACUGAAUGUCAAAA